CGUGUUUUUGGAAUGAUGGCUGUUAAAGUACUGAGCUCCUACACCAUGUCUUGUCCUCUUGUAGGGAGUGAUGAGGGGGAGUGGAUAUUGGAGGCAUGGGUACCCUCCAUGAUAUUGUGAGGCUUUAGUUGACUGUUCUGUAUCGCAGUUUAGCAAUUAUGUUUUAUAUCGCCAGGUUUAGUUAAUUAAGCAUGUUAACUCGCUUGUUGUAUUUUAAUUGCAGCUAGCUCAUUGCAAGCAUGGCGGGUUUAGACGGGUCUAUCUCAUUGUGUCUGAUUCAGCAUUUUAAAAUGUCCAUUACAGCUUACAUUCUUAACGUUGAUAAUUUUCUAAUUUUUAUUGUAAUUCCAACUACUGAACUAGCACAUCUUGAAAAAUACUGUGAUAUUGGCAUGGUUAAUUUAGUUAAAGUUGUAAAUUGUCAGCGAUGGCCACAUAAAUGGGGACAUUAUCAUUAAACGUGAUUGUGAAGAUGAGUCAUUUUUUAAUUAUUCUUUUCCAGGUAAACCACACGAAAAUGGCUUAAGUGAACUGCUGAACCAUGUUGCAUACAAAGCACCACAAAGAGAAUCCAUGGCAUUUGGGAGCUCCAUGACAGAUUUACUGGACCUUGUUCUGAAAGGUUUCUCAACUUUCUGGAUCAGACUGAAGGCUUCAUGUGAUGGCCGACACAGCACUCCUGGUUUGAAUUCCUUCAGUAUCAAUAGGCUGCUCCACACAAAGGCCAGGGCUGGGAAAUCCUUAAUGUCCAGGAACUCUGCCAGAAGACUGCCCCAAGACAAUCAAUGCAGGCCCCACCUUCAUUUUGUCAAAAUGACUGGGCUGAAGGGUUUUUGCAGUUAUAACUAUAUAGUUAUAGUUAUACAGUUUACAGUUAUAGCAUUUCCAUGCUAGCAUGUGCUAGCAUGCAGAGGAGAUCAGAAAGAGCAUUUAUAAUAGGUAUUGUUACUUCUGUCAGGAUUUUCAAAUUAUGAUUUAGUAACCAGUAAUCAGUUCAUUGUUAUUUAAUUACCAAAAGUCACAGGAAAGAGUGAAAAAAAUCGCUUUUUGUGUUAUGAUGCGCUUGAAGCCGUUCAACCUGACUGACACCGCUGAGAUGUUUGGAACUAUUGAGAGCUACAUGAACCACGUGACCGCCUAUCGGCGAGUUCAAAGAGUGUUGUAACUCUCUCUUUCUACGGCGCUGGACCGUCCCAAUCAGCAGCUGCUCACUUCCGGCCUCCGUGGUUUUAGCUAGCGCCAUAGAAUGACCCUUUCUCUUUCUAUGGCGCUGGUUUUAGCGGUCGACGAAGGACCCGCAGCCCACGUAGACCGGGUCCUUCGAAGGAUGCAGCCCUUGAGGCUGACUUCCGGGUCAGCCUUGGCGUUGGUACAUUUCCUUUCCGGUUGAUUUUGUCAAAUUUGUUUCAGUACUUGUAAAAGUCUUUUGCAUCUUGUU